rnacentral:lncRNA from 1 species
GGGACUGUGACUUUGGAGCUUCGCACUGAGAGGAUCGUAUCUGCUCAAAAUAAAUACAAGAAGAAUGUUAAUGACCAGCUGAACUGGUGUGUCAGCAGGCGAUGUUGUUCAAAGAGCCGCGGGGUCUGGGGUAUGAUUUUGCCUGCAAGCCGUGUCAUGACUGACAGCUUUGCCAGGUUCCCUUCCUGCCAUAUUGACCUUGCUGACCUGCUUCUCUACCUUGGUGGUAUCUGGGGCUUAUAUCUAUGUCUCCUCAGCUGAGUGAAGACAUGGAGGAUGAGCUCUGGCCAUCGGAAGAAUGGAAGACUUCCCUGAACCCCAAGGAGAAAGAUUUGAUGGAGACAUUCCUUUUAGGGCUGAGUGUUCCAUGAUCUCUCUCUGCAUAAUGUCUGGCUGUGGAUGUCUGUAUUUGUUUCCAUCUGCUGCAGAAGGAACAUUCUCUGAUGAUGGCUGAGCAACACACUGAUUUGUGAGUAUAGCAGAAUGUCAUUAAAAGGGGCAUUUGGUUUAAUCUGUGGUCCCUGAGUUGGCUGGUCUCAAGUAGUUGGUUACUCAAGCAGUAUUGAGUAUGGGUUCCAUCUUGUGGAGUGAGCCUUAAGUCAAAAUUGAUUGUGGUGCUUUGAAUGAAAAUGGUCGCCACAGGCUUAUAGCAAGUGGCACUUUUGGGAGGUGCGGCCUUGUUGGAGUAGGUGUGGCCUUGUUGGAGGAAGUGUCUCUGGGGAUGAGAUUUAGGAUUUCAGAGGGAGUAUCAUUCUCUCUUCCUGCUGCCUGCCAAUCCAGAUAUAGAACUCUAAGCUACCUCCUUAGCAUCAUCUCUGCCUGUAUGCUGCCUGUGUGCUCACCAUGAUCACAGUGGUCUAAACCUCUAAACUGUAAGCCAGGCCCAAUUAAAUGCUUUUCUUUUUAAUAUUUGUGGUGGUCAUGGUGUCUCUUCACAGCAAUAGACACCCUAACUAAGAUAGAUAUUGGUUGGUUAUUCCCACAGCCUUUAGGCCACCAAUGUGCAAGCAGGACAGCAUUUUCGAUCAAAGAGUUUGUGGCCAGGUCCCUGCUUAUAUUUCUCCUUUGGUAGUGUAUAGAGUAGCUACCUGCAACAAAGACACUAGCAUGCAGGAGUGAUGUUCACGGCCUCUAUUUAUCUCUUUUGUGGUUGUGUUUUUUACUCCUUAUACUUUGUUAUAAGAAACUGUUGCUGAACCAAAGAUUUUUAAGAUUCUAUAGUUUUUUGAAGGGAUUUUUAUAGUUUAGUCAUGACAUGUAGGUGUUUUUUUUUAAAGAUUUAUUUAAUUUUCAUCUUAUGUGUACGUGUUAGUACCUACACAUGUAUGUGAAUACUACCUGUGUGCUUGGUACUUGUGGAGGCCAAAAUAAGGCAUCCAAUUCCCCAUAACUGGAGUUACAGGUUGAAAGCCACUUGAAUGGGGGUGGGGGGGUGGGUUGGGAACUGAACUCUGAGCCACUACAAAACCAGCAAGCUCUCUUAACUGCUGAGCUCUCUCUCUGGGCCUACAUUUAGGUUUAUGGAUAACUAAUCUUAGACCUUGGUCAUCCUCUCUCAGUCUCACCCCAGGCCUUGGUCUCCCUCUCUCAGACUCACCCCAGGCCUUGGUCUCCCUCUCUCAGGCUCACCCCAGGCCUUGGUCACCCUCUCUCAGACUCACCCCAGACCUUGGUCACCCUCUCUCAGACUCACCCCAGGCCUUGGUCUCCUUCUCUCAGGCUCACCCUAGGCCUUGGUUACCCUCUCUCAGACUCACCCCAGACCUUGGUCACCCUCUCUCAGACUCACCCAGACCUUGGUUACCCUCUCUCAGACUCACCCCAGACCUUGGUCACCCUCUCUCAGACUCACCCAGACCUUGGUUACCCUCUCUCAGACUCACCCCAGACCUUGGUCACCCUCUCUCAGACUCACCCCAGACCUUGGUCUCCCUCUCUCAGACUCACCCAGACCUUGGUCUCCCUCUCUCAGACUCACCCAGACCUUGGUCACCCUCUCUCAGACUCACCCCAGACCUUGGUCACCCUCUCUCAGACUCACCCCAGGCCUUGGUCUCCCUCUCUCAGACUCACCCUAGGCCUUGGUUACCCUCUCUCAGACUCACCCCAGGCCUUGGUCACCCUCUCUCAGACUCUUGAGUGCUGAGAUUACAGGCAUUUGCCACCACCCACAGUUUACACAGUGAUUUUCACCCUGAGUGUACCUCAGAGGCCUCUGAGAGGAGUCCAGUGCAGGAUGGAGGUGAGCUCCACAUUCCUUCUUUUGCAUGUGGUGUGUAAGCGGGUCGCUGUGCUGUUUGAUGAAGAAGGCCUUCCCUCUUUGCCAUUGUUGUUAAAAAGUAAUUGACUUUAAAUGUGUUCAUUUCUGGUCUCCAAAUUCUAUUCCACGGAUCUAUAUGUUGUCUGUCCGUGGGCUAGUGUUAUCCUAUGAAGGCUACUCUAGCUUUGUGGAAAGUUCUGGGUCACAGCCUUUUGGAAUAUGUAAUUGAGUCCCUUGCUUUAGCUGUGCUUCUUAGUGGUUGUACUGGCUAGUUUUGUGUCAACUUGACACAGCUGGAGUUAUCCUAGAGAAAGGAGCUUCAGUUGA